GAUGAACGCUGGCGGCGUGCCUAAUACAUGCAAGUCGAGCGAACGGACGAGACGCUUGCUGCUCUGAUGUUAGCGGCGGACGGGUGAGUAACACGUGGAUAACCUACCUAUAAGACUGGGAACACUUCGGGAAACCGGCGCUAAUACCGGAUAAUAUUCUGCACCGCAUGGUUCAAAAGUGAAAUACGGCCGUGCUGGCACUACUCGAUGCAUCCGAGCUUCAUUAGCUAGUUGUUAAGUUAACGGCUUACCAAGGCAACGAGGCAUAGCCGACCUCAGAGGGUGAUAGCCGACACGGGAGCGGGGACAGGCACCUUAGUCCUACGGGAGGCAGCAGUCGGGAACCGUCCGCAAUGGGCGAAAGCCUGACGGAGCAAGGCCGCGUGAGAGAUGAAGAUCUUCGGAUCGUAAAGCUCUGUUAUGAGGGAAGAACAUAUGUGUAAGUAGCUGUGCACAUCUUGACGGUACCUAAUCAGAAAGCCCCGGCUAACUACGUG
rnacentral:rRNA from 1 species